rfam:Mesotoga prima MPI_scaffold_3345, whole genome shotgun sequence.
AUUGAGUGCCGGGGGAGCCCAGAAGGCUGAGAGUGCUGAAAGCAGACCCCAAGAACCUGAUCCGGUUAGCACCGGCGUAGGGAAGGCCAUGGC